AAAAGGGUGAGAUUUUGUUUU
rnacentral:miRNA from 1 species